rnacentral:rRNA from 1 species
GACGAACGCUGGCGGCGUGCCUAAUACAUGCAAGUCGAGCGGACAGAUGGGAGCUUGCUCCCUGAUGUUAGCGGCGGACGGGUGAGUAACACGUGGGYAACCUGCCUGUAAGACUGGGAUAACUCCGGGAAACCGGGGCUAAUACCGGAUGSUUGUUUGAACYGCAUGGUUCAGACAUAAAAGGUGGCUUYGGCUACCACUUACAGAUGGACCCGCGGCGCAUUAGCUAGUUGGUGAGGUAACGGCUCACCAAGGCGACGAUGCGUAGCCGACCUGAGAGGGUGAUCGGCCACACUGGGACUGAGACACGGCCCAGACUCCUACGGGAGGCAGCAGUAGGGAAUCUUCCGCAAUGGACGAAAGUCUGACGGAGCAACGCCGCGUGAG